AUUGAACGCUGGCGGCAUGCCUUACACAUGCAAGUCGAACGGCAGCGGGGGAGAAGCUUGCUUUUCCUGCCGGCGAGUGGCGAACGGGUGAGUAAUACAUCGGAACGUGCCCUGUAGUGGGGGAUAACUAGUCGAAAGAUUAGCUAAUACCGCAUACGACCUGAGGGUGAAAGUGGGGGACCGCAAGGCCUCAUGCUAUAGGAGCGGCCGAUGUCUGAUUAGCUAGUUGGGGGGGUAAAGGCCUACCAAGGCGACGAUCAGUAGCUGGUCUGGGCGGACGAUCACCCACACUGGGACUGAGACACGGCCCAGACUCCUACGGGAGGCGGCAGUGGGGAAUUUUGGACAAUGGGCGAAAGCCUGAUCCAGCAAUGCCGCGUGUGUGAGGAAGGCCUUCGGGUUGUAAAGCACUUUUGUCCGGAAAGAAAUGGCUCUGGUUAAUACCUGGGGUCGAUGACGGUACCGGAAGAAUAAGGACCGGCUAACUACGUGCCAGCCGCCGCCGUAACAC
rnacentral:rRNA from 1 species